rnacentral:rRNA from 1 species
UGGAUAGGGGUUCUGAGAGGAAGGUCCCCCACAUUGGAACUGAGACACGGUCCAAACUCCUACGGGAGGCAGCAGUGAGGAAUAUUGGUCAAUGGACGAGAGUCUGAACCAGCCAAGUAGCGUGAAGGAUGACUGCCCUAUGGGUUGUAAACUUCUUUUAUAUGGGAAUAAAACGUUCCACGUGUGGAAUUUUGUAUGUACCAUAUGAAUAAGGAUCGGCUAACUCCGUGCCAGCAGCCGCGGUAAUACGGAGGAUCCGAGCGUUAUCCGGAUUUAUUGGGUUUAAAGGGAGCGUAGGUGGAUUGUUAAGUCAGUUGUGAAAGUUUGCGGCUCAACCGUAAAAUUGCAGUUGAAACUGGCAGUCUUGAGUACAGUAGAGGUGGGCGGAAUUCGUGGUGUAGCGGUGAAAUGCUUAGAUAUCACGAAGAACU